rnacentral:rRNA from 1 species
GACGAACGCUGGCGGCGUGCCUAACACAUGCAAGUCGAACGGGAUCCAUGGAGUGCUUGCACUCCGGAAGAUCUAGUGGCGAACGGGUGAGUAACACGUGAGAAACCUGCCCCAGACUCUGGGAUAACCUCGGGAAACCGAAGCUAAUACCGGAUAUUCUCCUUUGGUCGCAUGGCCAGUUGAGGAAAGUUUUUCGGUCUGGGAGGGUCUCGCGGCCUAUCAGCUAGUUGGUGGGGUAACGGCCCACCAAGGCUACGACGGGUAGCUGGUUUGAGAGAACGAUCAGCCACACUGGAACUGAGACACGGUCCAGACUCCUACGGGAGGCAGCAGUGGGGAAUCUUGCGCAAUGGGCGAAAGCCUGACGCAGCAACGCCGCGUGCGGGAUGAAGGCCUCGGUUGUAACCGCUUCAGCAGGGACGAAAUAGACGGUACCUGCAGAAGAAGACCCCGGCGUAACUACGUGCCAGCAGCCGCGGUAACACGAGAGUA